AGGAAACAAGUCCCAACUGAAUAGGAAUUAGGAUUUGAGACAGUGAGCAGGAAUUGCAGCGACGUCAAGAUUAGCAAGAUGAGAAAGCACAGAAACAGCCGUACGAUGAAGAGAGAUGGUGACAGACCAAAAAGUACCAGGGUUAAAUAUGGUACGUGAUCCUAAACAGCCAAUUGGAUGGUAAACCAACACCUGGAUUGUACCACUAAAGACUAUAAGUGCAUGUCAGGACCUCUGAGACAAAUUUUGAAAGGUGGAACGAAACUAGCUUUAGCCAUGCUGGCGAGGUGUGUGUGUGUGUGUUCUCGAAAUUGAUUGAUCAAUUAAGCUUUUAAAGAUAAUGGUGUAGCAUGAAAUUUUAAUGCUGUACUUCAUCCUUCUUUGUAGAGAAAUAUGAUUAUAAUAAAACAUGAACAAAGUAGA